UGUGACUGGCAAGAGAGCUCUAUUUAUAGCACAUCCCUUUGACGCUCCCGGACCUGCCUUGCACACAGUCGGAGGCAUUUUAAUUGAUUGAUUUUUGGUAGGGCCGAAUCUGCUUCGGAGCUCCCUCCUCUCCUUGUCUGCCCCUGUAAGCUUUCCCUCUCAGCAGAGUUCCCUGGGAGGUUCUGUAAGGCAGACUGUGUCAUCACACUGCUGGAUUAUCCUAGUAUAAAAUGGUUGGAGGGUCUUCAGGUCAGUUGUUUUUUUUUUCCCUCUUCAUUCCCUGCCUUCUCUAAGGCCCCUGACACAGUUGAUUUGAUAGCAUAUGUGAAGCACAGUUUCCAGUCCAGGUUUCAGAAAACACCCAUUUGGGGGACGUAUGGAGAAACUAGAACAUAUGAAGCACCUUGAAUCUGAUAUUAUGCAAAGAAUGUGAGAAAUGCUUAGUUUCUUCCCUAGUUGCCACACAGAUGUGCCAGUUUGUAAGCCAUAGCUAUUGCUCUACCAUGUGCUUUCCUUUCAAUUCUGUUGACUUCUAGUAUAGAUUCUAUAUCUAGAUUUUUUCACUUUUGCUAAUUAGUGACACUUCAGACUUUUAUAAACAAUGUACAGUAUAUCUUGUUAAGCAACGAAAGAGAAACUUAUUUCUUUGCAUACUGUAUGUAGAUCAUUUGGACUACAGACAUGAAGCUUGGUUUGUAAUCUAGAAAUCAAGAUUGAGUAGUAAGCUCUUGAAAUCUUUAAUUUUUAUGCUCAGUCUGUGAGAAUGAAGCCCACAUUCUAUCAUAUUUCAUGACAGAAGCCCUGUUUGCAUUAUUUUGGUCAUCGUUAUCAAGAGUAGAAAAGAGUUGCUGCAGCGUGGAAUUUUAGAAUUUAAGGCAUACAAUUUCUUCUUCGCAUUAUUAUAGAGUCAUUUCAGUGACUUCUCCAAGAUCAUUUAAUUUAUGGCAAAUCUAAGUAGUUGAUAUAUAGUUACAAUCUAUUAGUUCUUACUUAAGAUGUGCGGGAAUAAGGGCCAGAGACAUUUGUUCAUGAUAUCAGCUUCAUUUUGCUUUUUGAAACCCAUUAGCUCAUUGUUUUUGACAGCUUUUUACAGACUUAGAAAUAUAUAGCCCUUAAGUGAUCAUUUCUCUUGAUUUCUAUUACUCAGUUCUUUAAAGUUUCCAGUUGUGUUUGAUUUUAUUCUAAACACUUUUUUCAAAAAAAAAUCACAUUAAUCUCUUUAUCUUUUUUUUUCUUAUGUCAGAAAAAAAAUAUCUUCCUGUCUCUCUUUAGGGAAGUCAGAAUUCCUUUAAAUGAAGCAUUUUGACAGUGGUGGCAACUAAAUGAAUGCAGAACAUUAACCUAGGUGCAGCUGGGUGUUACUAAGUAACUAGGUCCUAUGCAAGCAGGCUGCUAGCAGGUUCCCCAGGGGAAACAAGAUAAGACUCAACAGGAAGUCCUGGAGGGAGAAGCAUUUUUUUUUUCUGAAGAAAUUUAAGCAUUUCUCUUCAGUGCCAUAGUGAACACUUUUCUUUCCAAUGUACUUCCAAGUUUCCAUUUUUUCAAAUUUUAUUUUACCAGUUUACACUCUGCAUGUGUGGUGGUUUGAAUAAAAAUGGCCCCCAGAGGCUGACAUGUAUGAAUGUUUCUUCUCCAGUUAAGGAAAAUAAUUUGGGAAGGAUUGGGAGGCGUGGCCUUGUUUGAGGAGGUGUGUUACUGGGUGUGGGUUUGAGCCUUGAAAAGCCAAUGAAGGUCUCCUUUGGCUUCCUGUGUAUCUGCUGCCUGUGGAUCAGGAUGUAAAACACUCAGCUACUGCUCCCGUGCCAUGCCUGUCUGAUUCCCACCAUGAUAGUCAGGAAAUAACCUUCAAAAAAUUUAAGUAUACCCCAAAUUAAAUGCUUUUUUCAUAAGAGUUCCCUUGGUCAUGGUGUCUUUUCACAGCAAUAGAACAGGAUCUAAGACAUACUGCUCACGUCUUCCUACACUCAUAAAGAUGAAUAUUGGUGUCAUUCAUAAAGUGGGCUUUACUAUCCUGCAUCACAUGAAUCUGUAGAAUAGAUAUUCUCCAUAUGUCUGUUACUAUCAGACACUUUUUCCUAGUAGACUAAAUUGACCAGAUAGUCUCGUUUUAGAUUUUAUAUUUCAUAUCAAAUCUAAAUUUAACAUUCUAUACUUUUUUUUGGUUAAAUGUAGUCAUUGUGGUCAUUUUCUACAGCUCAGUGAAUAAGUGGGUACAUGGUAUUUUCAGGUCAAGUUGACAUACGUCAUUUCUGAUCACUGUUCUGUGCCAAGACUAAUCCUGUACAGAACAACUUAUUUUAUCCUGCCCUCCACAGCAUGGUUGAAGCUUUGUAGAUCUCUUAUAGCUUCCAAACACUGAGGGUAGAAAAAGCAGAUGCUUAGAAACCUGCCAGACUUGGUUGGCCCCAGAUAAGCAUAUCAAAGAUGUAUUAUCUAGUGUACUAUAUCUUGACUUAGUCUGUUAUCUGUCACACAAGAAAGACUGGUAUUUGUUCUAUCUUGGCUGUGAUUGAAUCAUUCGCUGGCUGAGUGACUUUAAUUACUCUUGCAAAUAAAACCCUAUGGUAUGGGCUUUUGAUCAUUUUCAAAGUCUAAAAUAACUUGUUACAUGAGAGUCUCUGGUAAAUUAAAAUGGAUUCAUGUAUACUGGUUAAAAAUAUCACUUUGGACAGUAGUGUUUCUUUAUUUAAACUUUCUUCCUAGC
rnacentral:lncRNA from 1 species